UCAACUUUUUGUUAUUGAAAUUGUAUAAAAUUAUUAAUUAGCUAAUCAACAAUGAAUAUGUUAGGGGGUCGGUACGAUUUUGGACUCCUUUUUAUAGCCAAAUAUAAAAUGUAAUUAUGUGCGGUCUAUGUAUUGCAAGCAUUGCAAAUCGUUGUGUUUUCGCGUAUUAUAAGAAGUGCGCUAAGUACCUAGGCUAAUUAUUUGAUAUGAAAAUCUUGAAAAUGUUGGUUUAAUGUUUUUAGUAAAGAAAAUAAAAUUU